rnacentral:lncRNA from 1 species
GAUGAAGGAGGGGCUSUGGUGAGCUUUGAAAGAUUUUAUAGAUGUCUCUUUGGGCCUGUGUAAGGAGUGGUUUGCGUAGCAAGAGGUGCUCUGUGCCAAGACUCUGUCAGUGCUUCUGCUCCUGCUCGGAGCYGAGGCUCCUCUGGCCGUGGCGCGGCUCGCUGGGACUGAUGUCAAAGAAACGUCCACUGGGGUCGACCCUCCAAGAUAGAUACCGUUUCCUUCUCAGUGCAGGUAGAAACACGACCUGGGAGAGCGCGGCAAGAGCCUGCAGAAAAUGGACUUAG